rnacentral:tRNA from 1 species
CGAGGUAUAGCUCAAUGGUAGAGUGCUUGACUAGCAUGCACAAGGUCUUGGAUUCAAUCCCCAGUAUCUCCA